GUCCACAUUAUAAGACCCACAUUCCCGCCAACAUUUCUGACUCUAGUUAAAGGUCCCAUGACAUGAAAAUCUCACUUUGUGAGGUUUUCUAACAUAAAUAUGAGUUCCCCUAGCCUGCCUAUGGUCCCCCAGUGGCUAAAACUUGCGUUUGGUGUAAAACGAGCACUAGCUGUUCUGCUCGCCUUUGAAAAAACGGAGGCUCAAGCGCGCUGAUUUGGAAUGUCUGUGCUCAUGACGUCAUGAGGAAUCUCGGCUCCUCCCCUUACUCUGCCUGGCCCGCCCAGAGACGUUGGCCCGCCAAUGAGACUCGACCGUGCGAGCGCCACAUGUGUAUUCACAUUGAUGUGGACGUUGAAGAACCAGGAACGUCGGAAUAUCGGCUCACACAGCUUUUGGCCGUGAUAAUAUGUAUUAUAUGAUUCAGAUAUCUGUGUAGGCUAUAUGAUAAUAUUUAAAUAUAGAGCUCCAGGACUCCCGUGUGUUCUAGAAUAUUUACAGAACACGGCUAAAGGCUGUGUGCGCCUCGCCAUUGCGAUACAUCCACUGUAAACAGAGCGCAUGGUACCGUCCCUGGCUGCAAGCUGCUCAGGGCCACACCCCCACCCUCCUCCUUGACACGCCCACCGAAACAGCGCAUUUGGGGGAAGCUCAAUGUGCGACUGGCUCGAAGUGGCUGUAACUCUGCACCACGGCUGAAUUUCAGGAACGUCUUUGAAUACUGUGUUAGUUGCCCACUAAUACCUAUAUUAAAGAAUACAUAAAAUAGCAUGUCAUGGGACCUUUAAGCUGCUUACUUUUUGUAGUGAUAUGCGUAGGAACCUGUAAGGAGGUUGGGGAAGGUUUAGGGGUGAACACCUGUAACGUAAACCAACAUGUAAUAAAGUACCCAAGGCUACACCGGCAACACGAGUGUCUCCGUCUAUUAAACCUGCACAGUAUAUAAUUGAUCCUGUUACAUGGUGUCAGAAGUGCUGAAUCCCGUCACAAGCGACGUCGGAGUUCCUGAAAGAUGGU
rnacentral:lncRNA from 1 species